UCUCCUUAGUGCCAGACGACAUCUGAGCAGGUUCCCCGAGGGCUGGCUGUUGGCUCUCAGUUCUCCUGGCCGCAUUUGUGGUGUCCCUCAGAGCUCCUCGUGACCCUGUUGCAGCCGAGGAGCCAGCAUGAUCUCCCUGGACAUCCUGCUACCAGGGCUGCCCACGGUUGAGCAGAGUGAGGUGUAAAUUCACCAAAAUGCUCCAGCUGCAUCCCACCCACAUCGCCUGGAACAAACAGAAGGGAAAUAUGUUGCGUGUAGUGUCCUGGAGUAUCGUUACUGCUCUGCGAUAACUCUCCUGUGGUGUUCAGCUCCCUUGGGUGAGGCCUCAGCACUCAGCAGUUCUUCCCCUUCUUGGUAUGCGUGAAAAGGGUACUCUAAAGCUGCAGAACACAGGCAGAUUAAGAGGGAAUGCAUAUUGAUAUUCCACCUUUACUAGGAUGAUCUCACAACUUCUUUGACCUUUUCCUGACCCCAUCCUUUAAGGAUGUCUUAGCUGGGCUUUGUCGGCUGGGAAAAUGAGUCUCAGCCAGCUGAGGUGAGGGGGGCUCAUCUGAUCAGUGUUUGCCCAAGGGAGGGAGUGACCCGUAGUGGGGAAAGCUGUCUGCUCUUUUCCUUCAGGAUACAAUUUUCAGAGCUUGUUGGUGUAACCGAGUCUCCGAGGGAGCUCUCAGCCAGAAGGUGGAGGGCAGGACAACUUGCCCAUGAGUGAGGAUGAAAGGAUGACAGUAGCGCCUUCCUUCUCUUUCCCCUCUUCCCAGUUGUUCUCUUUCACAGGAGCUGUGGCCAGUACAAGACUCUGCCCCAGAAUGCUUCGGAGUGGCACUGCAUCCCCAAUGGAUCUGCAAGCCAAACCCCUCAGCUCCAGUCCAGUUCACAAAUCUAGCCAAAAGCACUUCAUCCUUUUGUAAGGGAUGGCUCAGAUCUGUGCUCUCCAGUGCCUUGGUUUCUGUUUCUACAAAUGUAAUGGUAAACAUUGAUCUAAUACAGAAGAACACAGGAAAAUUAACAUUUUUUUUUCUGCUUCUUCCACUCCCUGGACUCUUCAAUUUCUCGAUUUCGUGCCAAGAAGGGAAUCUGAGACAACUGCUUUGACCCUGAUUAGAUUUAAACUGUGUGAAAUGAGCAGCUUUUCAUUUCACAGAAUCACAGAAUUGUAGGGGUUGGGAGGGACGUGAAGAGAGCAUUGGGUCCAACCCCCCUGCCAAAGCAGGUUCCCUAGAGCAGGUUGCCCAGGUAGGCGUCCAGGUGGGCAUUGAAUAUCUCCAGAGAAAGGGACUCCACAGCCUCAUGAAUGGAAGCUGGGACCUUUUGAAGAGUGUGAGCCCUGAAGCCUGCAUCUUUACUCUGCUGGGUGAGAAUAUGUGAGUGCAAGGGACAUGGUCAAAUAUAUACCUGUAGGUACUGGAAGUACUAAGCACCUGCCCAGGCAGAAGCAUUGCAGGCAGGCAGGUUCGUUGCUUUUCAUGUGGUUCUUGCAGCACAAGAAUUCUUUGCUUCUGAUUUUGGUUCCUCUGUGGUCUUGCUUUG
rnacentral:lncRNA from 1 species